CAAUUGGAAACAGUUGCUAAGACAGGAUAGGAAAUUAAGAGGCAUCUUUUAAUUUUUAAAAGACCUUUUUCGAAAGGUAUACUUAAAGAGGGGCUUGCGCCACAUUAGUUAGUUGGUAAGGUAAAGGCUUACCAAGACGAUGAUGUGUAGCUGGACUGAGAGGUCGAACAGCCACAUUGGGACUGAGACACGGCCCAAACUCCUACGGGAGGCAGCAGUAAGGAAUUUUUGGCAAUGGAGGAAACUCUGACCGAGCGACGUCGCGUGAACAAUGAAGUACUUCGGUAUGUAAAGUUCUUUUAUUGAAAAAGAAAAAAUAGUGGAAAAACUAUCUUGACAUUAUUCAAUGAAUAAGCCCCGGCUAAUUAUGUGCCAGCAGCCGCGGUAAUACAUAAGGGGCGAGCGUUAUCCGGAAUUAUUGGGCGUAAAGGGUGCGUAGGCGGUUUGAUAAGUCUAUAGUUUAAAUGCAGUGCUUAACGCUGUAGCGCUAUAGAAACUGUCUGACUAGAGUUAGAUAGAGGCAAGCGGAAUUCCAUGUGUAGCGGUAAAAUGCGUAAAUAUAUGGAGGAACACCAGAGGCGUAGGCGGCUUGCUGGGUCUUAACUGACGCUGAGGCACGAAAGCGUGGGGAGCAAACAGGAUUAGAUACCCUGGUAGUCCACGCCGUAAACGAUGAGUACUAAGUGUCGGGUUUCGGCUCGGUACUGAAGUUAACACAUUAAGUACUCCGCCUGAGUAGUACGUACGCAAGUAUGAAACUUAAAGGAAUUGACGGGACCCCGCACAAGCGGUGGAUCAUGUUGUUUAAUUCGAAGAUACACGAAAAACCUUACCAGGUCUUGACAUAAUUUUGCGACAUUAUAGAAAUAUAAUGAAGGUUAUCAGAAUUACAGGUGGUGCAUGGUUGUCGUCAGCUCGUGUCGUGAGAUGUUAGGUUAAGUCCUAAAACGAGCGCAACCCUUGUCGUUAGUUGCGACCACGUAAUGGUGAGCACUUUAGCGAGACUGCCAAUGAAAAAUUGGAGGAAGGUGAGGAUUACGUCAAAUCAUCAUGCCCCUUAUGAUCUGGGCUACAAACGUGAUACAAUGGCUGUUACAAAGAGUAGCUACAACGUGAGUUUUUAGCCAAUCUCAAAAAAACAGUCUCAGUUCGGAUUGAAGUCUGCAACUCGACUUCAUGAAGUUGGAAUCGCUAGUAAUCGCGAAUCAGCAUGUCGCGGUGAAUACGUUCUCGGGGUUUGUACACACCGCCCGUCAAACCACGAAAGUUGAUAAUACCCGAAAGCGGUC
rnacentral:rRNA from 1 species